rnacentral:rRNA from 1 species
GCCCGCAACCAUAUCACCCUGCAUCUCACAACUGGCAACCCAAUGAAGCUAAGCACGUGUGAGCCUGGUCAGUACCUGGAUAGGAGACCUCCUGAGAAAAACUAAGGUUGCUGCUGGAA